GCAGCCUCGGUCACACCCAGCUCCCCCGCGCCUCACCUGGGCGUCUGCGCGGUGGGCCGCGCUCCCCCGGGGGGUUAAUGGAGAAGCAGGCCGGGGGGCGGGCGUGGGCGCGAACUCCCGGCCUUGCCCUGAGAGUGUGUGGCCCUCUCUCCUCCCAGGGGCCCUACAACGGGCGGGGGCAGCCCGAGUGGUCAAGGUGUCUUCCUUCAGGCAAGAGAAAGGGUACAUUGACGAGGAGCACCUGACAGGGGCUGGUAGACCUUUGACCUUCAACCAGAACUAUGACUGCAGCAAACUGCUUUUGGCCUCAUUCACUGGGGAGCUUGCCCAGAGACUUCAAGGGACAGGUGUGACUGUGAACUCUGGGGACCCUGGCGUUGUGUACACGGAGAUCAUGAAGAUUCUCUUGGUUAUAUCGUUUCAUCUUCUGGCUCCUCAGCUUCUUCUUUAAGAACAGCAAACAGGGUGCAGUCCCAGUGCUCUACCUGAGCUUGGCAAAGGAGCUAGAUGGCAUUUCUGGAAAACAUUUUAGCAGUUCCGGUGUGAUAACUCUUGCCCCUAAAGCUGCCAGAGAUCCUCACGUGGCCCAAAGCCUCUGGGAUACUUCAGCCCGACUAACAAAUCUAGACAAGAUAGACUGACCUCUGUGACCCCUGCCCUGACUCGCCGCCUUCCCCCUGACUCCCAGCCCUCACUCGGAUUUUGCCUUCUGCUUGUCAGUUCCAAGGAACAAUCAGUCACCUUGUUGGGUGUAAUGACCACUUCCUCUUCCUGUUGGCUCCACGCAUGAAAGCUCAGCUUAGCCUGGGGACAGCUCCAGCUUCUACUUUAUAGCCAUUUCUCAGAUGGAAGUGUUCAUCUCUUGGGCACUAGGAUCUCCAAACCUACCGAGCCCUGUGUUGUGGUGACGGGGGAGUAAAGGUCCUUCCGGUGGUCUAUUAGGGUUCCUGGCUUUGGGGGAGGCAGCACCACAUAGUGUCCUCUGGCCCAAGGCAUAUACCACACGGCUGCAGGACAGCACCCCAGCUGCACAGGAUGUUGUCUCCCAGCUGGUACAGUAACUGCCCAGGUAAUGUAUCAGACCAGCUGCUCCUGGAUGCUGAGUCAUGUGAUAAGGCAGAUGAAUUCUCAGAGAGCCCACUGCUUCUUUUCUGGGGUCUUU